CCUAGAGCAUUUUAUUUUCAAGGGAAAUAAUUGUGGUCUGACUGUAUUAUUUCAAAAAUCACAUUUGAGAUUUUUUUACUUGCACACCGGUACAGUUUUUGCGGGGAAGUGAAAGUUGCUGAAAUUUUGUCUUCUUCUAAAAACAAGUUGCAGUCUGUCUUUGGAAGCUCUUGAAGUAACAAGAAAGAGGCUACAUUGACAACCUGGUAUACUUUGUUAUAUAUGAAGUUUAUUGAUGGCAUUCAUGAUAUCAUUAUAGAGUACCCUACAUUGAUUUUCUGACAGUCAUGUGUUAUUACAUUUGAACUGGGACUGUUUCAUAAUCAGUGUUGGUAGGGAGAAGUUUGAGUAUGUACAGUUGUUUGACCUGUCUUACCAUGUGGCAGUCCCAGAAGAUGUUACCAUUAUGAAUAAAUGCAGGGGGUAUUAUGCUUCGAACUUGUAGACAAUGGUUAGUGCAGAAGGGACAAAAAAGUAAUGUGAAAGUAACAGAUAUAAAUGAGAAGUGCUACAAGCGUGUUGUCAUGUGAAAAGGACUUUACCCCAACUGUGCUGCAUGAUGUAUAUUCAAGAGUGAGACAGCCAUGCACCAUCUGUAAACUGAGAUGGACCCACACAUAAAAUAUGUUGACUUUUCUAUGUAUUAUCAUCUGUACAGAAUGUGUUUAUGACAAGACUGUAUAAAUAUAUUGUUAAAUCAUAUUUUAUUUCCAUUAUGGCAUGCAUGUAAGAAGAAAGCAUUAAUUAAACAAUUGCAUUCAUAGAAAUGUUAAAAUGUGAUCAAUCUAAUUUAAAGAAUAACCUUUAAUUGGACUUUCUAAGUUUCAUAUUAUUUUUGGUGGAGAUUGACCCGGUCAUUCAGCAACUUAUACUGUCUGUGAGUCAUUUCUUGUAUGUUAUAGUUUUCUUAAUAAUGCAUAAAAUAUCAAAAUAAUGGUUAGAUAAACUCAUUCAUCACUUGUACAUUAAUGUUAAAGCAGUUCAACAUUUUACCAUAACUUAAUUAAUAUUCUAUUACCCAGAUUUGUCACAUAUUUUCAUAUAAACAAUUGUAUAAUACAGUCUAAUCUUAUCUAGAAAUGAUGUUCCACAAUUUUUUAGUUAUACUUUAUUUUGUUUUGAUGUCUCAACAUAUAAUUACUAACAUCAACAAAACUUAGAUAUUUUACAAUUUGGUUGGUAUAAAUGGUUGUUUUGUAGAUAUGUUUUAUUUAUUUCCAUCCAGGGGAAUAAAGAAAUAUACAUUUUAAAAUAUCUCAUCAUUCCAGAUAAGUACACUACAUAAUAAAGAUAAAAGAAAUAAGAAAAAUUAUGUUGGUGGAAUUUUAUUUUAAACAAGAGCGCCGCCAAGCGGGGCAAUAUACGCCCGAAGGCUUACAUCAUAGGAAGGGAGCAAAAUUUUAAGAACUUGACUGUUGUAGCCCAAAGGACUGGAACAACAAAAGGAAAACUUCAAAAAACAAAUCUAAGUCCACAAAAAAAAUAUUCAAAGUCUACAAAAAAAUCCUUAUCAGGUACAGGUAUGUAAAAAUAGACCUAAAAAUUGGAAGUACCAUCCAUGUUGUACCACAGAAAAGUGGUCUCGGUUUUUCCCUACGGCCAAUAAUAAAAAAGUUUCAAAAUAAGCUAUUUAUAGUAACAUAAAAGGGAAGUAAUUAAAAAAAAAAAAUAUUGUAAGUACAAAAAAGAGAUCUGCCAAAUAAAAACAAGAGCACUGCAAUGCAGAGCAAUAUACACUAAGCAAAGUCAUAUAUGACCUUUGACCCUUAAGUGUGACCUUGACCUUGAAGCGAGUCAUCCGGAACAUGCGCUUUGCACAUCGCCUCAGUGUGGUAAACAUUUCUGCCAAGUUUCUUUGAAAUCCUUCAAGCAGUUCAAGAGUUACAGAGCGGACACAAAACAAACUGAUAGGACUUUUGACCCCUAAGUGUGACCUUGACCUUGAAGCAAGUCGUCUGGAACAUGCGCUCUGCACGUCGUCUCGGUGUGGUGAACAUUUGUGUCAAGUUUCUUUGAAAUCCUUCAAGGGAUUCAAGAGUUACAGAGUGGACACGAAACAAACUGAUAUGACCUUUGACUCCUAAGUGUGACCUUGACCUUGAAGCGAGACAUCCGGAACAUGCGCUCUGCACGUCGUCUCGGUGUGGUGAACAUUUGUGUCAAGUUUCUUUGAAAUCCUUCAAGGGGUUCAAGAGUUACAGAGCGGACACGAAACAAACUGAUAUGACCUUUGACUCCUAAGUGUGACCUUGACCUUGAAGCGAGAUAUCCGGAACAUGUGUUCUGCACAUCGUCUCGGUGUGGUGAACAUUUGUGUCAAGUUUCCUUGAAAUUCUUCAAGGGGUUCAAGAGUUACAGAGCGGACACGAAAUUACUAACGGACAGACGGACACCAGCGUCAUAACAUAAUACGUCCCUUCGGGCGUAUAAAAAUUGAUAUACAGUCUUUGUAGUAUUUACUUCUUUAGAUAUGUUGGACUGAAAUGGGAAUAACAACAUACUUUAAAUUUUUGUAGUCGGAAGUUAAUAUGGGAAUUACUAACUUGAAAUAGAUUUUAUCUCGCUGUUAUGCCAUCUGAGCUUUAAUAUUUUUCAACAUUGUCAUUGGCAACAAGGCUAAACAUUAUUUCUCAUGUAUACGUUGCAUUCAUGUGUGAUAAAUGAUUUUAUGGUAUUCUUUAAUAUGAUAUAUGUUUUUCAUCUUACCAUGGAUUAAAAAAAUAUAUAUUUAUUUCUCUGAAAAUUAAGGUAAAAAUACUGACUGAUUAAAUUGCAAUAUAAGAAAGCUUAUAUGAGAUAAAGGGAGGUAAUUCCAUAAAAAAUAUGUAGAAUGUAGAUGAUAAAUAUAAUGAAGGGAGGUAAUAAAAUAUUGUGAAGUUAA